AGAGUUUGAUCAUGGCUCAGAUUGAACGCUGGCGGCAGGCCUAACACAUGCAAGUCGAGCGGUAGAGAGAAGCUUGCUUCUCUUGAGAGCGGCGGACGGGUGAGUAAUGCCUAGGAAUCUGCCUGGUAGUGGGGGAUAACGUUCGGAAACGGACGCUAAUACCGCAUACGUCCUACGGGAGAAAGCAGGGGACCUUCGGGCCUUGCGCUAUCAGAUGAGCCUAGGUCGGAUUAGCUAGUUGGUGAGGUAAUGGCUCACCAAGGCGACGAUCCGUAACUGGUCUGAGAGGAUGAUCAGUCACACUGGAACUGAGACACGGUCCAGACUCCUACGGGAGGCAGCAGUGGGGAAUAUUGGACAAUGGGCGAAAGCCUGAUCCAGCCAUGCCGCGUGUGUGAAGAAGGUCUUCGGAUUGUAAAGCACUUUAAGUUGGGAGGAAGGGUUGUAGAUUAAUACUCUGCAAUUUUGACGUUACCGACAGAAUAAGCACCGGCUAACUCUGUGCCAGCAGCCGCGGUAAUACAGAGGGUGCAAGCGUUAAUCGGAAUUACUGGGCGUAAAGCGCGCGUAGGUGGUUUGUUAAGUUGGAUGUGAAAUCCCCGGGCUCAACCUGGGAACUGCAUUCAAAACUGACUGACUGGAGUAUGGUAGAGGGUGGUGGAAUUUCCUGUGUAGCGGUGAAAUGCGUAGAUAUAGGAAGGAACACCAGUGGCGAAGGCGACCACCUGGACUAAUACUGACACUGAGGUGCGAAAGCGUGGGGAGCAAACAGGAUUAGAUACCCUGGUAGUCC
rnacentral:rRNA from 1 species